ACAGUGGGUAGGAGUCAUAGUUGAUGACAAGUUAAAAGUUGUUGAUAGACAGCUAGUUUAAAGGGGUCAUAGAAUGCAAAACCGAGUUUACUUUGUCAUAGAUGAAUAGUGAUCGUUCAGUGGGUGAAAUGGACAUACAGAGAACUUCAAAACCCCACCGACACCUCCUUCCUAUGCAAAUCUCACAAUUCGAAACUCCCGCCAUAAAACGGGCGAAUCCAAACGAAGCUGCGAGUUCACGCAAACUCGCAGGUGGUACCUUAUUUGGCUCUGGCCUGUACAUUUGUCACGCCUCAAAAUUUACAUACAGACCAGCCCACUGGUGCUCUGAGCCCAGGAACGUGAAUGGAGAGCGAAGAUGAGACAAACACUAGUUUAGCUGCCUGCUCGUUUACUUCCACAGGAAUUAUAAAGCAGACAGUUCUUCAAGGAUAUCGAAAAUGAGCCACGGACGUAAAUGCAGUGUUCCAGGCUGAAACUUAGGCUACAAAUAAAGCUGAGACUUUCCAUAGUCUUCCCAAGGAUUCAAAAGUUCGAGGGGCAUGGAUAAUGUUUUUCUACCAGAAGAUCCCUGCAAAGUUUGACACUCCGUUAUUAAUUUGCAAAACAUUUCACCGAAGGCAGUUUUCAAAACCUUGUACAGUUAAGCAGGAUUUGCUAAGCUGCUGUUACUUAAACGAGGGGCUGUUCCGACCGUAAGGUCAUCACAACCGCAUGCUGCUUUAUCUAGCAGCCAUGCACUUCAAUGAGAAUGCUGAGUCCCCACAACAGAAGACAGCCAAGGAGAAACUAUGUACAGACUUGCCAAACAAUUUAUCAUCAAAGACCCUCUUCCUUAUUGGGAUGCCGUCCAGCGGAUUCCUGUGCCCCAGGACUUGUGUGCUCAGCUUGACAGACCUUCCAUGGAGGAUGCUGUUGCUGAACAUGUCACGGUUCAGUCGAAAAGGGGUCUGAAUCCAACGUACUGGCCUGAAGUAUCCGGAAGCUCCCUCCAUAUGCGUAGCACCACACACAAGGGGAUCAUGACACGGACGCUUCUUCUAAGGAAACCCCAGCUCCUGCUCACAAAAGACCUGUCCAAGUCACUUCAUUGCCUGCAACGAGAACAGGGUGGAAAAGCAAUUUUUUUUUACUAUUUAUUUUUUAAUAUUUUACAUCAGAGUAUCACUGGACGAUUGUUGAAAAAAAUAAAUAAAGUUUAUCAUUUUGUGGUGUUGA